rnacentral:RNase_P_RNA from 1 species
GUAAGACAGAUGAUCGCUGCUGCAUGACCGAAAGGAUGCAGGAGAGGAAAGUCCGGGCUUCACAGGGCAGGGUGCCAGAUAACGUCUGGCGGAGGUGACUCCAGGGACAGUGCAACAGAAAUAAACCGCCCGCGAAAGCGGGUAAGGGUGGAAAGGCAGUGUAAGAGACUACCGCCUCGCUGGUAACAGAGAGGGCACAUGUAAACCCCACUCGAAGCAAGACCGAACAGGGAGCAUAAGGCGGCCCGUCUGCUUCCGGGUAGGUCGCUUGAGCCGUCUGGUGACAGGCGGACUAGAUAGAUGAUCAUCCACGACAUAACCCGGCUUAUCGUUUUGCUC